rnacentral:lncRNA from 1 species
UUCAACUUCAUGUUUUUAGAUCACGAGGCAGCUGGUAACUAGGUCGAAGUGUCUUCGUGUAUUCGACCCUUGGUAAGUGUCUCGGCAUUCAGUAGCUGUACAUUCAUCAAAGUCUCUCCGCUGGAAGUUGAGUAUUAUUUUGUUGUGUAUAGACGAACUUAAUGUGAAUUAUUAAGAUACAUGUGGAGACAGUGUAUAUACACUUUUUGGUAUGCCAAUAUGAAGUGGCAAUGCUUAAUAUUAUUUUGAUUCUAAGUUAUGAUAUAUGACUUAGUAGUUUAUGAUGGAAUGAUGAACAUGUCAAAUUAAUAGGCUUACUUGGGCUUAGUGGACUACGUCCAUUGGGCCCAUGCGCCGGUCAUGACCCGAAAUUUGGGUCGUGACAUUCAUUAACUAUAGUUUUUGUUUGAAAGUCUUUUGGAUAGUAUUUUGAACAAUAUCCUUUUACCAUGCAUGGAGAAUUGGGACGCUCAGAAUCAUAUGGUCCAUGGGCCAUGAAUUUGGCUACAGCUUGGUAGGCAACAAGAUUUACACAUUUGUCUGGUAAUCCAAUUGAUAUGAUUUUGCCUAU